rnacentral:tRNA from 2 species
GCGGAUGUGGCGAAAUUGGUAGACGCACUGUCUUCAGGUGGCAGCGCCCUCUGGGUGUGAUGGUUCGAAUCCAUUCAUCCGCA